AUGGCGGCGAGCAAGGGAGCGAGGAAGAGCCUGGUGUCGAGGACCCUGGAGCGGUGCAGGUCCGGGCUGAACAGCGGCGGCAAGUCGUCGGCGGCGGUGGCGCCGGGGUGCUUCUCGGUGUACGUGGGCCCGGAGCGGGAGCGGUUCUUGGUGCGCGCCGACCGCGCCGACCACCCGCUCUUCCGCCGCCUCCUCGACGACGCCGAGCAGGAGUACGGCUACGCGGCGAAGGGGCCCCUCACGCUGCCCUGCUCCGUCGACGCCUUCCUCGACGUGCUCUGGCACAUGGACCACGACGUCCACGAUGACGACGACGGCGAGGUCGCCUCGGCGCCGACGACGCCGAUUUGCGGCCUACAGCGCGGCGGCAGCGGGAACAUCAAGGUCCGGCCUGCGGGGUACCGGGUGCUCAGCCCGGCCAAGUCCACGCCGGCGUCCUUCUUCUUCUCGCAGACGGCGGCUGGCGGUAGGUGGUGA
rnacentral:rRNA from 1 species